rnacentral:rRNA from 1 species
AUGACAGAAGACUAUCGACUAAACCACAUGUCCCCUCAUGCAGUUGAGCAGAUGGCUUUGUUAGAUAUAAAAAGUAUUCUUGAAUCGAUGGGGAAGGACAUAUCAUCAUUACCUCUUCCAGAAAUUGUUGAGUCAUAUGAUGGCUCAAAUAACAAGGCUAGGGAGAUCACAGAGGAGUCGACCAUAGGGGUGAACCCAGAAUACCUUGGCUUUUCAUCUUUCCUAAACCCAGAAGAGAGAUAUGCAUAUGAUGAGAUACUUGCAACAAUCAAUAGUGGCCAAGGAGGUGUGUUCUUUGUUGAUGGACCAGGAGGCACUGGAAAGACUUAUCUAUACAAAGCACUACUUGCAAAAGUAUGUGGUGAGGGUAAAAUAGCUAUUGCAACAGCAAAAUCAGGCGUUGUUGCAUCCAUCUUGCCCGGCGGGAGGACUGCACACUCAAGGUUUAAAAUACCAUUGAACAUUGAAGAUGGUGGAGUUUGCAGUUUCACCAAGCAAAGUGGGACAACUAAGCUUCUUAUGAGCGCCUCCCUCAUAAUUUAG